AUUGAACGCUGGCGGCAUGCCUUACACAUGCAAGUCGAACGGCAGCACGGACUUCGGUCUGGUGGCGAGUGGCGAACGGGUGAGUAAAGUAUCGGAACGUACCUUUCAGUGGGGGAUAACGUAGCGAAAGUUACGCUAAUACCGCAUAUUCUGUGAGCAGGAAAGCAGGGGAUCGCAAGACCUUGCGCUGAUUGAGCGGCCGAUAUCAGAUUAGCUAGUUGGUGAGGUAAAGGCUCACCAAGGCAACGAUCUGUAGCGGGUCUGAGAGGAUGCUACGCCACACUGGAACUGAGACACGGUCCAGACUCCUACGGCAGGCAGCAGUGGGGAAUUUUGUACAAUGGGGGCAACCCUGAUCCAGCCAUGCCGCGUGAGUGAAGAGGGCCUUCGGGUUGUAAAGCUCUUUCGGCCGGGAAGAAAUCGCAUGGGUUAAUACCCUGUGUGGAUGACGGUACCGGAAUAAGAAGCACCGGCUAACUACGUGCCAGCCGCCGCAGUAACAC
rnacentral:rRNA from 1 species